rnacentral:rRNA from 1 species
GAUGAACGCUGGCGGCGUGCCUAAUACAUGCAAGUCGAGCGAACGGACGAGAAGCUUGCUUCUCUGAUGUUAGCGGCGGACGGGUGAGUAACACGUGGAUAACCUACCUAUAAGACUGGGAUAACUUCGGGAAACCGGAGCUAAUCCCGGAGAAUCUUUUGAACCGCAUGGGUCAAAAGUGAAAGACGGUCGUGCGGUCACUUAUAGAUGGAUCCGCGCUGCAUGAGCUGGUUGGUCAGGUAACGGCCUACCAAGGCAACGAUGCAUAGCCGACCUCAGAGAGUGGUCGGCCACCCGGGAGCGUGGACACGCUCCAGACUCCUGCGGGAGGCCGCAGUCGGGAAUCUUCCGCAAUGGGCGAAAGCCUGACGGAGCAACGCCGCGUGAGUGAUGGCGGCCUUCGGAUCGUAAUGCUCUGUUAUUAGUGAAGAACAUAUGUGUAAGUAACUGUGCACAUCUUGACGGUACCUAAUCAGAAAGCCCCGGCUAACUACGUG